rfam:Haloplasma contractile SSD-17B Contig18, whole genome shotgun sequence.
UGAAUCCCACCUAGUAAAGUCUAACCAACAACUAGUACUUAGAUCCUACGCCGAAGCAGUAAUGUUAGGUUUAAGUGUAAUCAAUGGAACAUUUAAGCUGGAAGUGUAUACUGAAGUUGUUAGCUGUGAUGGGCCGAAAUUGGAAAGGUCGAUGGUUUUGGAGAACCCGAAGACAACAUUAAAUAUAUUGUUAAUGGUGAGAUAUAUUUAGCUUUCCCGGGGUUGUAAGACCU